rnacentral:rRNA from 1 species
CCCUACGGGGGGCAGCAGUGGGGAAUAUUGCGCAAUGGGGGAAACCCUGACGCAGCAACGCCGCGUGCGGGAUGAAGGCCUUCGGGUUGUAAACCGCUUUCAGCAGGGAAGAUCCAAGACGGUACCUGCAGAAGAAGCCCCGGCUAACUACGUGCCAGCAGCCGCGGUAAUACGGAGGAUGCGAGCGUUAUCCGGAUUUAUUGGGUUUAAAGGGUGCGCAGGCGGUCUGUUAAGUCAGCGGUCAAAGCCCGGGGCUCAACCCCGGCCCGCCGUUGAAACUGGCAGUCUCGAGUUGGAGAGAAGUA